rnacentral:rRNA from 1 species
GUAGGGAAUAUUGGACAAUGGGUGCAAGCCUGAUCCAGCCAUGCCGCGUGCAGGAAGACGGCCUUCUGGGUUGUAAACUGCUUUUGCCUGGGGAUAAAAUAGCUUUGCGAAGCGAAUUGAAGGUACCAGGUGAAUAAGCCACGGCUAACUACGUGCCAGCAGCCGCGGUAAUACGUAGGUGGCAAGCGUUGUCCGGAUUUAUUGGGUUUAAAGGGUGCGUAGGCGGUCCUGUAAGUCAGUUGUGAAAUACGGCAGCUUAACUGUCGAGGUGCAAUUGAUACUGCAGGACUUGAGUACUGAUGAGGUAGGCGGAAUGGACGGUGUAGCGGUGAAAUGCUUAGAGAUCGUCCAGAACACCGAUAGCGAAGGCAGCUUACUAAGGAGUAACUGACGCUGAGGCACGAAAGUGUGGGGAUCAAACAGGAUUAGAAACCCUUGUAGUCC